rnacentral:rRNA from 1 species
CCUACGGGUGGCAGCAGUGAGGAAUAUUGGUCAAUGGACGAGAGUCUGGACCAGCCAAGCAGCGUGAAGGAUGACUGACCUAUGGGUUGUAAACUUCUUUUAUAUGGGAAUAAAAUGUUCCACGUGUGGGUUUUUGUAUGUACCAUAUGAAUAAGGAUCGGCUAACUCCGUGCCAGCAGCCGCGGUAAUACGGAGGAUCCGAGCGUUAUCAGGGUUUAUUGGGUGUAAAGGGAGCGUAGGUGGAGUGUUAAGUCAGUUGUGAAAGUUUGGGGCUCAACCGUAAAAUUGCAGUUGAAACUGGCAGUCGUGAGUACAGUAGAGGUGGGCGGAAUUCGUGGUGUAGCGGUGAAAUGCUUAGAUAUCACGAAGAACUCCGAUUGCGAAGGCAGCUCACUGGACUGCAACUGACACUGAGGCUCGAAAGUGUGGGUAGCAAACAGGAUUAGAUACCCUAGUAGUC